ensembl:lncRNA
GCUACACCUGCUAAUACAUUUGAUGGACUAUUUUGCACUAGUACACGUAGCUAAUGCUAGUCAUAUUUAGCAGUGUAGCCUAUACACGAUGUCCUACACAUCUGAAGUGUGUGUGUAUGUGGGUGUGGGGGUGUGCGUGCGUGUGUGUGGGUGUGUUAGAGAGAGAGAGAGAGAGAGAGAGAGAGAGAGAGAGAGAGAGAGA